rnacentral:rRNA from 1 species
UUCCGGUUGAUCCCGCCGGAGGCGACCGCUUUGGGAGUUCGAUUAAGCCAUGCGAGUCGUGAGUCUUAGGGACUCGGCAUACUGCUCAGUAACACGUGGAUAACCUGCCCUAUCGUCUGGAAUAACCUCGGGAAACUGAGAAUAAGGCCGGAUAGUUCACAAUGCCUGGAACGGUUUGUGAAUCAAGGUAGGAUGGGUCUGCGGCGUAUCAGGUUGUAGGGGGUGUAAAGGACCCCCUAGCCUUCGACGCGUACGGGUGUUGGGAGACAUAGCCCGGAGAUGGAUUCUGAGACACGAAUCCAGACCCUACGGGGUGCAGCAGGCGCGAAAACUUCACACUGCAGGAAACUGUGAUGAGGGAACUCCUAGUGCAUGCACUAUGUGUAUGUAGAUCCUACUCUUAACAAGUAGAGGGAAAGGGCUGGGAAAGACCGGUGCCAGCCGCCGCGGUAAUACCGGCAGCUCAAGUGGUCGUCGCUUUUAUUGGGCCUAAAACGUCCGUAGCCUGCUUGGUAAAUCUGUGGGUAAAUCAAUCCGCUCAACGGAUUGAAUUCUGCAGAGACUGCCAGACUAGGGACCGGGAGAGGUGUGGGGUACUCGAGGGGUAGGGGUAAAAUCCUGUCAUCCUUCGAGGACCACCAGUUGCGAAGGCGCCACACUGGAACGGAUCCGACGGUCAGGGACGAAGCCUAGGGGCACGAACCGGAUUAGAUACCCGGGUAGUCCUAGGUGUAAACGCUGUGAACUUGGUGUCGGGGGUCCGCAAGGGGUCCCCGGUGCCGGAGUGAAGAUGUUAAGUUCACUGCCUGGGGAGUACGGUCGCAAGGCUGAAACUUAAAGGAAUUGGCGGGGCAGCAC